CCUCCCAAAGUGCUGGGAUUACAGGCAUGAGCCACCACGCCCGGCCUCUGCUUUCUUUCUCUGUGAUUUGACUAUUCCAGAUCCCUCAUCUGGGAGUUAAAAAAAAUUCUGCCGUAGCCUACCGCCUCAUGACUUUGAGUCUGUCUGUAUUACACCAAGACAACAUAGAAGUUAUGAGCCUUGUGAAGGAGGUGCCUGCUUCGCCUUCCUCCAUGAUUGUAAAUUUCCUGAGGCCUCAUCAGCCAUGUGGAACUACUACAGAAUCCUGGCGAGGAACCUAUUCCUAUAUUUACCUCCAUCUCUCUGGUACCUGGCCUAAGUCUACACAGUAGAUUUAUCCUGAAAUCUGCUCCAGGAGUUCUGUACAUCUCAUGUUGCAGGGCUGCGGUGCUGUGAAGAUUUCGGCAUCCUGCACUCAUGGCCAUGUUUAGUCUAUGGUCACAUUGACACUAGAGAGUUUCAGGGACCA
rnacentral:lncRNA from 1 species